CAGACUUAUCGCCAUGUAUAUUGCAAAUUUUUGGUAAAUGUGGAAUUUACAAAAAAUACAUUUUUAAAUUAGUUAUAUGUUAGCAUUGCUAUUGGAAACGUACAAGUUUUAUAAGAUUAUUCUAGUUUUUAAGUUAUAAUCCAGGGAGACACAUGGUUUCUGGAUGAAUUUUAGACGUAUUUUAUCGAAAAGUUCUUUGAGGUCGUCUUCAUCCUCGGGGAAAAGCUUAUCUCCUUCUGAGGAAGUGUUGCGGCUGCAAAGUGAAAUCGAGUUGCUUAAGCAGACUAUAGAGUCUUUCAAGAUUUCAGUAGAAAGUCGGGAUGCAGCAAUAGGCACUCUUGCUCGUGAAAAAGAAAAAUUAUACGUUGAACUGAAAAGUGUCCAAAGGACAAACAGGAAUAUACAUCAACAAUUGGUGGAUGAAAGGGACAUGUAUUCCAAAGAAAAAGAAUACUUAGUGGAAGAAAUCAAACGGCUGUCAAAAAAUAAUAAUAAGGAGUAUAACUUAUAUCAACCAAAAAUAUGCGAAAAUGUUGUUUUACUUUUACACGAAAAUAGACAAACUUUAGAUAAUCUUUUGAAUCGAUUGCUUAAUGCUUCUACUGUAACUCCAAGUAGUAAAAAUUAUCUUAAAUUAUUAAAAAUGAAUGCGAAUCUUCAUUACGAAAAUACUCAAUUAAAAAUAUGCCUUUCUCUAAAAGAUUUCUACAGCGAACUUGAUGAGGAAUCCGCUGCAGACAAUAGUCAAAACAAAUCAAGUACAGCAAAGCUUUCGAAAUCCGAAGGCAAAAUGGAUACUGCAACGAGCAAACAUAAAAAAAAAAAUCUACAUCGAUAUCAUGCUUUUCGACAAAAAAUCUAUAGAAUGCCGAAAUUUGAAGAUUUCAGAAAGUUUCGAAGUAUUCAUGAAGCACUAUCACCUCACUUUCGGCGAAAAAAGUAUUAUAGUUCGGAUCCUUGUUUAGCUCGAUCGUAGAAUUCUUAGGUCAAGAAAAUAAAAUUAAAUAUUUAAGUGAAUACAAUUAUUUUUUAUAAUUUUGAUUUGAUUUCUAAACGAAGAAUUUUCUACCUUGUCUAUAGUUCUAUUCAUAAUCACAAUGGAAUAAAAAUGUUGCCAGUAAAAUCUAUUACCCCUUAACAAAGGGAUUCCAGUGUUUACAUGUUAAAGGAUAUGAUAGUAUAGAAGUGUGCCAUGCGUCUGAUUACUCACACGAAUUUAAUUAAAUACAAUAUGUUUGCUUUCUUUGUCAGUUAAUUGUUUCUAUUUUAUAGCGGUUAUAUUAUUGUUGUUACGGCU
rnacentral:misc_RNA from 1 species